AAAUACUUUAAAUUAAAGAUCAAAUUUAUUCAUUAAUUCUUAUAGGGUCGAGGAGUGUAUCUGUAAAAAUCAUCAAAAUCGGAGCUAAAAUAACCGUUAAAUUGUGAUUUUUCGUUUAUAACCGUCGAAAACUUUUGUUCCGUUACGUAAUCUCUGAAUGUUUUUUUUUUACGAUUUUUUAUGUAUGUGAUCUCGGAAUGUGUACAAAUAUGUUUGACGGUUUGAUCGUUGAAAAAUGUUUCGUAGAAUGCAUAUUGCGUCAAAACAGUAGAUUAAACAAACACUUAGAGUUAAUAUUAUACUUCUAUUAAGUAUAAAAUAAGUUUUUGUGGUAUCUACUAGUGUAAAUACUUUAAAUGAAAGAUCAAAUUUAUUCAUUGCAUUCUUAUAGGGUCGAGGCGUGUAUCUGUAAAAAAAUCAUCAAAAUCGGAGCUAAAAUAACCGUUAAAUUGUGAUUUUUCGUUUAUAAUCGUCGAUAACUUUUGUUCCGUUACGUAAUCUCUGAAUAUUCGCUUUUUUUACAAUUUUUUACGUAUGCAAUCUUGGAAUGUGUACAAAUAAGUUUGACGGUUGGAUCGUUGAAAAAAACUUGUCAUUACGAGUGUUUAUAUAUUUUUUCUAUAUUUUUUUACACUUCUACAUUAAUUAAAAAACUAUUAAAGA
rnacentral:lncRNA from 1 species